rnacentral:rRNA from 1 species
AGACCAAAGUGGGGGACCUUCGGGCCUCAUGCCAUCAGAUGUGCCCAGAUGGGAUUAGCUAGUAGGUGGGGUAACGGCUCACCUAGGCGACGAUCCCUAGCUGGUCUGAGAGGAUGACCAGCCACACUGGAACUGAGACACGGUCCAGACUCCUACGGGAGGCAGCAGUGGGGAAUAUUGCACAAUGGGCGCAAGCCUGAUGCAGCCAUGCCGCGUGUGUGAAGAAGGCCUUCGGGUUGUAAAGCACUUUCAGCGGGGAGGAAGGCGUUAAGGUUAAUAACCUUGUCGAUUGACGUUACCCGCAGAAGAAGCACCGGCUAACUCCGUGCCAGCAGCCGCGGUAAUACGGAGGGUGCAAGCGUUAAUCGGAAUUACUGGGCGUAAAGCGCACGCAGGCGGUCUGUCAAGUCGGAUGUGAAAUCCCCGGGCUCAACCUGGGAACUGCAUUCGAAACUGGCAGGCUAGAGUCUUGUAGAGGGGGGUAGAAUUCCAGGUGUAGCGGUGAAAUGCGUAGAGAUCUGGAGGAAUACCGGUGGCGAAGGCGGCCCCCUGGACAAAGACUGACGCUCAGGUGCGAAAGCGUGGGGAGCAAUCGGGAACUGUGAGACAGGUGCUGCAUGGCUGUCGUCAGCUCGUGUUGUGAAAUGUUGGGUUAAGUCCCGCAACGAGCGCAACCCUUAUCCUUUGUUGCCAGCGGUCCGGCCGGGAACUCAAAGGAGACUGCCAGUGAUAAACUGGAGGAAGGUGGGGAUGACGUCAAGUCAUCAUGGCCCUUACGACCAGGGCUACACACGUGCUACAAUGGCAUAUACAAAGAGAAGCGACCUCGCGAGAGCAAGCGGACCUCAUAAAGUAUGUCGUAGUCCGGAUUGGAGUCUGCAACUCGACUCCAUGAAGUCGGAAUCGCUAGUAAUCGUAGAUCAGAAUGCUA